GUUCCUGAGCAGCUCGUGGCGAACCGUUUCCUGUCUCGCGACAUGUUUAACUGGUACACAGACCGAUGACUGCUGUUGGUUUGCGACUGGUUCGGCUUUUCCAUGGAUCGCUAGAAGUUUGUUGUAAAAAUAAUUUCAAAGAACAGUUUUUGAGCAGUUCGCAAACGGUUCGGCUCGCAUGUGUAUACGCACCUUUACCGAGCUCCUGAAUUUAGUUUUGCUUGACGUGUGAGUUUACCUAACUUUAUUUUACCGCCGCUAUAAGUAAGUACGUAAGUUUUGUUAUGAAUUUAUGAGUUUUCCGACCGUUCCGGUAGGAAUAUUUAAAUUAUUCUUACAGCCUUCGAACGCUCUUGUGCCAGAGAAGAAGAGAGAUAAUUAAUAUUUUGAUAUCUCAGCGCCGUUAAUUAAUAAUUAAGCAUUUUAGACUCUCAUAAUAAGCGAAAACCAGGAUAGAAACGAGUUGUUUAUUCGGUAUCAGUCUCGCAGCUGUGCCUGGGUCAAGAAAAAGACAACGUUGUUGCACCGGAAAAUUCCAAUUAAGAUUAGGCGUUGAUUCGAUUAAUGAGUAUUGCUGUUUGAAUGCGCUUAAUUGCGUAAGCAUGGAUAAUGAAUUACGUUUUAAUGAGUCGUAGAAAAACCGACAGACGGCGUCCAGAGUUAGGUAUAUCAAAAUGAACGCGCUUAAAAGACGGGAAAUGAAUUGCACCGCUCUGACGAAUACAGCGAGGAGCUGGAAAUUCCCUAUUCCACUUCCCUAAAAUUCGGAUUUCUUUAUAAAGUAAACGCUGGAUUUUGUGGGUGCCAUUUUCUUUCCGUAAGAACUUUUGCAGUUUGUAAUUGUCCCCAUCGACUGUGCGCGAGCUCAAAGUUCGUCAGAAGUGGAAUACAGCCAGACGUCUUAGUUAUCUGAUACGGCGUGACGUUAACCCUUUCGGCGUUCUGGCGAUAAAAGGUCUUGUGCGCAUGAAGCCGUCAUUCAAUAGGAAGCUUAUUCCAAGGACGAGUUUGGAGGGACAGGUAUUUCAUUAAGGAGAUAAUGUCUAAUGAUGAUAUCCUAACAAUGGAAAUGGUUGAGCGUCUGACGCCUUCUCCAAGGCAGGAUGGUGACUAAAAAUUGCAUCUCUAGUACUGGAAGAUCUGGCACUUACCCCAAACCACAAUUCGCAGGCGGCGGCAAAAGUAGGUCUUGUGUUGGGGUCGAAGCAGGCGAGAGGAGUAGGAUUACCUUUCUCUAGUGUAGCGUGGCACCUAAUAGUUUUGAUCCCGAUCUGUCACCAUCAGACUGGACAUGCUAGACGAAGUGGUCCAACUGGUCUGGAAAGGAGAAGGCGCAAGGAAGAGGACUUAACGCACCAUUUUUGCCGGCAUCUUUAUUAUAGGAGAGUAAUGGUGUCCGUCUAUCCGUUUGUGCGCCCGUGAACACGAUAAUUGGCAAACUCUUGGGGUGAUUCGGUUCGAGCUGUGUACAGUUAACCUAUAAUACCACAUGUAUAAUAACAAGAACGAACAAUUUCCUGGCGGAAUUGGAGGUGUACCACGGCAAGAUAUUAGAGCCAGUAGCCAGCCAGCAAGGGUGCAGAAAAGACAGGCCGAUGAAGAAGCACCAGUCAACAUAGGUAUAGUGGUGCGGGGGCCCGGCGCUGACAUGAUGUUAUAACACCUUCUGAAGGGACACCUUUAAAAAGCAUUAUGCGAGCCACUCUGUAAUUGGGCGCAAGCCUGUUGAGAGGGCCCAGAAGAAGAGGGACAAAUAUUAUCAGCAAAUAGCGAGCCACUUGUCCAAGGACUUCUCUAAUGGAGCGUAAGGAGAGGUGUAUGCGGGGUGGCGAAUCCGGGCAUGUGUUGGUGGCGUGUCCCAAGAAGGUGGAGGUCGAGAUUACGCGGAGGCGGAGUCUAUUGAUAAACAAAUAUGAAAUAAUGUUUUUACA